ACCCGGCUAGCUCAGUUGGUAGAGCAUGGGAUGUUUGAUCUCAGGAUCAUGAGUUUGCGCCCCAUGCUGGGUG
rnacentral:tRNA from 1 species